UGUGCAGUUACAUUGAAACUGUAACGGAAAUUAUGUAGACUGUUGUAAAUUUGAUUGUGACAUAGUAGGCCGAAGAUUGAAGAACACUCUUGCAAGUUGGUUCCUUUUUUGAUAAAUCGUUCGGACGUCGCACUCUUCAACGUCCCACGUGAAAAAGACCGCGACGAUGAAGAACCCGGUGACGGCUACGCUCGAUUUUCUUUCCUACUGGUAUUUCAGAUACUUGAUGGUCACCGAGCUCUACAUGGUCGAGAAAUGGGAACGUGUUUUCUGCAAUUUCACCAUUUUAAUAUUUUUAAUGAUUCUCUCCUUUGUAAACUGCAAGAUGCUUACCUACUCCAGUGUGCUGAUAUCAGAAGGCUUUAGAAAUUUCACUUUAUUAUCUUGAAUUGUACAUAUAAUGUAUUAUUUGUUUUCAGAUAUGGUUUCAAGGCUGGAUUUCAUUAUGCCUGGUUUAUCCUAGUC